rnacentral:rRNA from 1 species
GAUGAACGCUGGCGGCGUGCCUAAUACAUGCAAGUCGAGCGAAUGGAUUAAGAGCUUGCUCUUAUGAAGUUAGCGGCGGACGGGUGAGUAACACGUGGGUAACCUGCCCAUAAGACUGGGAUAACUCCGGGAAACCGGGGCUAAUACCGGAUAACAUUUUGAACCGCAUGGUUCGAAAUUGAAAGGCGGCUUCGGCUGUCACUUAUGGAUGGACCCGCGUCGCAUUAGCUAGUUGGUGAGGUAACGGCUCACCAAGGCAACGAUGCGUAGCCGACCUGAGAGGGUGAUCGGCCACACUGGGACUGAGACACGGCCCAGACUCCUACGGGAGGCAGCAGUAGGGAAUCUUCCGCAAUGGACGAAAGUCUGACGGAGCAACGCCGCGUGAGUGAUGAAGGCUUUCGGGUCGUAAAACUCUGUUGUUAGGGAAGAACAAGUGCUAGUUGAAUAAGCUGGCACCUUGACGGUACCUAACCAGAAAGCCACGGCUAACUACGUGCCAGCCGCCGCCGUUAA